rnacentral:lncRNA from 1 species
UCCUCCCCUUCCUCUCUUGGCGUUGCCCUUUUCCACUUCUUCCUCCUCCCCCCCACCCUCACACACACGGAGACCUCCCACCUCGCCGGACGAGAGCAGCAGCAGCCGCUGCCGACGCUCCCGCUCGGGGGGCAGAAUCUUGCGCCGUCUCCGGAUUCGUCCGGGUACUGUGGUUUGACUUGUUGGGCGAGAAAAAGAAAAGGGGGCGUGUUCUUUGGCUUGAUCAGCGGUGGAGGAGGAGGAGGAGGAGGAGGAGGAGGAGGA